rnacentral:rRNA from 1 species
UACGUAGGGAGCAAGGCGUUGUCCGGAAUCAUUGGGCGUAAAAGAGCGCGUAGGUGGCUUUAUAAGUCCGUUGUGAAAGUCAAAGGCUCAACCUUUGAAAGCCGAUGGAUACUGUGAAGCUAGAGUACGGAAGAGGCGAGUGGAAUUCCUGGUGUAGCGGUGAAAUGCGCAGAUAAUCAGGAGGAACACCAGCGGCGAAGGCGGCGCUCUGGGCCGGAACUGACGCUGAGGAGCGAAAGCGUGGGUAGCAAACAGG